GAUGAUUGUUUUCUAUACAAACAUGCGGCACUUCUUCACCAUUGUUUUAAUGCAAGGAAAACGUUUAGGAAUCUAUUAACACAAAUAUUAAUAUAUUUUAAUUAAAUAUGUAAUCCGCGCAGAGCGCGGACACCGGCUCUAGUUACAAUAAAAUUAGGAAAGCACAAGUGCUUAAAUAUUUGUACUCUUUUUGUUUUUUUUUGUUUGUCAGAAAAAUAUAUGUACUCUUUUAACAGUAAACUAGAUUUUGACCCGUCCUUAAAGGGCGGGUAUAUUUUUCGUUUUAAUUUUUUUUUUAAAUUAUUUUUUUAUAUUUGUGUUAUUUUUUGUAAUUAUAUUUGUGUUUAAUAAUAAUUUAAUUUAAUAUAAUUUUUUGUAACUAUAUUAAAUAUGUCAAGUUGCAUAAUUAUACACUUAUGCCAUAUGUAUUUCAUAAAGUAUUUUUAAAAUUUAUUCCUAAAGUUUAGCAACAUAUUAUAUUUUCUUCGUAGUUACCUAACAUAAUUAGUCAAGAAUAUUUGCAUCCAAAAACUCCAAUUCGGAAUCGAUCCGAAAAUCAAAGUUUCAUAAUCUAUUAGGUUUGGCCUAUAUACUCGAACGAUUCUUAAAAUGUUAUAUCCGAAAACCAAUAUCAAUUCCAACCCGCACCGAAAGACGAACAAUUUUUUUCGAAAAAAUGUUUGAAAAUAAUAAUUUUUAAUAUAUUUAGUUAGAUAUAUAUGUAAAUAGGUUAAAAGGUCUUCACUAACUUG
rnacentral:lncRNA from 1 species